CACGUAGGCGGCUUCGUAAGUCAGUUGUGAAAUCCUCCGGCUCAACCGGGGAACUGCUUCUGAUACUGCGGGGCUAGAGUGCGGGAGGGGAGAGUGGAACUCCUGGUGGAGCGGUGAAAUGCGUAGAUAUCAGGAGGAACGCCGGUGGCGAAAGCGACUCUCUGGACCGUCACUGACGCUGAGGUGCGAAAGCUAGGGUAGCAAACA
rnacentral:rRNA from 1 species